rnacentral:rRNA from 1 species
AACGAACGUUGGCGGCGUGGAUGAGGCAUGCAAGUCGAACGCGAAAGCCGCAAAGGCGAGUAAAGUGGCGGACGGGCGAGUAACACGUAAUCAAGCUACCUGCGAGACGGGGAUAACUUCGGGAAACCGAAGCUAAGACCCGAUGGUCUUCUAGGAACGCAUGUUCCAUGAAGUAAAUGGGCGGGAUCCUCCGGGAUCGCCUGCUCGCAGAGGUGAUUGCGGCCCAUCAGCUAGUUGGUAGGGUAAUGGCCUACCAAGGCAACGACGGGUAGCCGGCCUUAGAGGGUGGUCGGCCGCACUGGGACUGAGACACUGCCCAGACUCCUACGGGAGGCUGCAGUCGAGAAUCUUCCGCAACUGGGCGAAAGACCUGACGGAGCGACGCCGCGUGGAGGA